GACGAACGCUGGCGGCGUGCCUAACACAUGCAAGUCGAACGGAACUGUUUUGAAAGAUUUCUUCGGAAUGAAUUUGAUUUCGUUUAGUGGCGGACGGGUGAGUAACGCGUGAGUAACCUGCCUUCAAGAGGGGAAUAACAUUCUGAAAAGAAUGCUAAUACCGCAUGACAUAUCGGAACCACAUGGUUUUGAUAUCAAAGAUUUUAUCGCUUGAAGAUGGACUCGCGUCCGAUUAGUUAGUUGGUGAGGUAACGGCUCACCAAGACCGCGAUCGGUAGCCGGACUGAGAGGUUGAACGGCCACAUUGGGACUGAGACACGGCCCAGACUCCUACGGGAGGCAGCAGUGGGGGAUAUUGCGCAAUGGGGGCAACCCUGACGCAGCAACGCCGCGUGAAGGAUGAAGGUUUUCGGAUUGUAAACUUCUUUUAUUGAGGACGAAAAAUGACGGUACUUAAUGAAUAAGCUCCGGCUAACUACGUG
rnacentral:rRNA from 1 species